rnacentral:rRNA from 1 species
GAUGAACGCUAGCGGCAGGCUUAACACAUGCAAGUCGAGGGGCAGCAUGAACAAUAGCAAUAUUGUUUGAUGGCGACCGGCGCACGGGUGCGUAACACGUAUGUAAUCUGCCUUAUACUGGGGCAUAACUCCGAGAAAUCGGUGCUAAUUCCCCAUAACACUGCGAAGUGGCAUCACUUUGCAGUUAAAGCUCCGGCGGUAUAAGAUGAACAUGCGUCCAAUUAGUUAGUUGGUGAGGUAACGGCUCACCAAGACUCCGAUUGGUAGGGGUUCUGAGAGGAUGAUCCCCCACACUGGUACUGAGACACGGACCAGACUCCUACGGGAGGCAGCAGUGAGGAAUAUUGCGCAAUGGACGAAAGUCUGACGCAGCCAUGCCGCGUGAAGGAUUGAAGGCCCUAUGGGUUGUAAACUUCUUUUGUACGGGAAAAAACGCUUCUAUGUAUAGGAGCCUGAUGGUACCGUAAGAAUAAGCACCGGCUAACUCCGUG